GCGAGCGUAGUACAAUGGCAAAACAUCUCCUUGCCAAGGAGAAGAUAUGUGUUCGAUUCCCGCUGCUCGCU
rfam:Triticum aestivum genome assembly, contig: Triticum_aestivum_CS42_TGACv1_scaffold_051285_1BS